GGUAUUUUAUUCUUCCAAUCAGACACUCUGGGUCCUGUAACUACCUAUUGUAUUAAACCGUGAAGGAAAGCUUUUUGUCUUUCCCAGUCGCCCCAACUAAAUGAUUGAACUGGUCCUCUCGCAAACCCUCAUUUCCGGGAAAACCACAAACACCAUCAAAAUCUAUAGGGUCUUCUCGUCUUUUAAGCGCAUUUUUGCCCUUUGACAAAAAAGUUAAAUUCAAUGAUUUUUAAAAAGACAGUAUCGAUUCCAUGGGACCUUUCAUCCAAGCCACCAAUUAAAAGGCUAUUUAUUAUGCUACCUUUGCACAGUCAAAAUACUGCGGCUCUUUAAUGGAACCAUCAGGGUGCAGGCCUUACCUUUUAUACAAUCUCAAAAAGCA
rnacentral:rRNA from 1 species